UUGAAAUGCUCUUUUACAUCCUUAUUAUUCUGCUAUAAUAUUUUAAUGUUGUAGGGAAGGAAGAGAGGAAGACCAUCAAAACAAUCAACUGCAAGUUUGAAGAAACAAAAACGUCACAAUCCUCCAUGGAUUGGAAGAUGGCUCAAGAGAAUGAAGAUGAGGAAAAAUGGAAAGGAAGAUGCGUUCUAUAUUCACAAACAUGUACCCAAUCUGAUUUGUCGAUCUAAGAAAGAAGUUGAAAGGUAUGAGAAGGAUGGUACGUGGCCAGGUAGAAAACCUCAAAAGAAAUAUCCAUGAGCACCACUAAUAAACCGACAAAGGAAUGAAUUUACAAGUGAAGCUGGAAGUAGUUGGAGUUUUAUUAUAUGGAGGUGAUGUUUAUGAUGUAUUUUACUUUAAAUAUGGGAUUGUCUACAUGUGACUUCUUCUAUGUACUUUUUUAUUUUGAAGUAUUUAACUUCGAGGUGGUUUUUACCAAAUAAGUUUGAGAG